rnacentral:sRNA from 1 species
UGAUGUCACCACGGGCCUCGUGGAGCAUUCGUACUUUGAGCGUCCACAGGUGACUUCUGUGAGAAGUGUUCCUCGGGGGUGCAGCGGGAGCAUGCUGGAAACAGCAGAUGGUGUCCCUGUGAACAGCAGAGUGUCCUCCAAAAUCCAGCAGCUUCUGAACACCCUGAAGAGGCCAAAGCGCCCUCCACUGAAGGAGUUCUUUGUGGAUGAUUUUGAGGAAUUGUUGGAAGUUCAGCAACCAGAUCCAAAUCAGCCGAAGCCUGAGGGAAGCGAGACAAGUGUGCUGAGAGGGGAGCCUCUCACUGCAGGUGUCCUCCGACCGCCGUCACUGUUGGCCACCUUGCAGCGCUGGGGCACAACACAGCCCAAAUCCCCCUGUCUGACUGCCUUGGAUACAACUGGGAAAGCCACCUACACUCUCACCUAUGGUAAACUUUGGAGUCGGAGUUUAAAACUAGCUUAUACUCUACUUAAUAAACUGACAAGUAAGAAUGAACCUCUACUUAAACCUGGAGACAGAGUGGCGCUCGUGUUUCCGAAUAGUGACCCUGUGAUGUUCAUGGUUGCAUUUUAUGGGUGUCUCCUGGCAGAGCUGGUUCCUGUCCCCAUAGAAGUGCCAUUAACAAGAAAGGACGCAGGCAGCCAGCAGGUUGGGUUUCUGCUGGGCAGCUGUGGAGUCUCCUUGGCCCUGACCACAGAUGCUUGUCAGAAAGGCCUCCCCAAGGCACAGACGGGAGAGGUGGCAGCUUUCAAAGGUUGGCCCCCCCUCUCCUGGUUAGUGAUUGAUGGGAAGCAUCUAGCCAAGCCCCCCAAGGACUGGCACCCUCUGGCCCAGGACACAGGGACUGGGACUGCCUACAUUGAGUAUAAAACCAGCAAAGAAGGCAGUACGGUGGGGGUCACAGUGUCCCACGCAUCCCUGCUGGCACAGUGCCGAGCUCUGACCCAGGCGUGCGGGUACUCAGAAGCUGAAACAUUAACAAAUGUGCUGGAUUUCAAAAGGGAUGCUGGUCUGUGGCAUGGAGUGUUAACAAGCGUCAUGAACAGGAUGCAUGUGGUCAGCGUCCCCUACGCGCUGAUGAAGGCGAACCCACUCUCCUGGAUCCAGAAAGUGUGCUUCUAUAAAGCUCGGGCCGCACUGGUGAAGUCGCGAGACAUGCACUGGUCUCUCCUAGCUCAGCGGGGCCAGAGGGAUGUCAGCCUCAGCUCACUGCGCAUGCUGAUUGUGGCUGAUGGCGCCAACCCGUGGUCGAUCUCCUCCUGUGAUGCCUUCCUCAACGUCUUCCAGUCCAGAGGUCUGAGGCCGGAGGUCAUCUGUCCUUGUGCAAGUUCUCCUGAGGCGCUCACUGUCGCCAUCCGCAGGCCACCUGAUCUGGGAGGACCACCUCCAAGAAAAGCAGUCCUAUCGAUGAACGGUCUAAGUUAUGGUGUUAUCAGAGUGGAUACUGAAGAAAAGUUGUCAGUCCUUACUGUUCAGGACGUUGGUCAGGUGAUGCCUGGAGCUAAUGUAUGUGUUGUGAAGUUAGAAGGUACCCCUUAUCUUUGUAAAACUGAUGAAGUGGGAGAAAUAUGCGUCAGUUCCAGUGCAACUGGCACAGCGUACUAUGGAUUGCUUGGAAUCACGAAGAAUGUGUUUGAGGCAGUUCCGGUCACCACAGGAGGAGCACCCAUCUUUGACAGGCCAUUCACCAGGACGGGCUUGCUGGGCUUCAUCGGGCCUGUGAGUAUGUCCUCCUGUACCAGGACUGGCAGUCAGAGAAGGUAGGGGGCAUGGCUAAGGGACAUCUCGUUGCAGUCCCACCCUUGUCCUGGCCAUUCCUGACCUCCCUUGUGGCCUUGGUCGGUCACACUGACCUCCCUGCCCAUCACCUACCUGUGUGCAGGGCCAUCCACACCUCUGAGACUGGUGCACAGUCCUGCACACAGGCCCGAGUCGGGGGUCCCCGGGGUGGAUGAGGAUGUUUUGCUUUUUAUAUGGAGUGGCAGGUUCGUGAGUAUUCAUUAUAUCAUUCUUUACCAUUUUGGAUGUCUAAACUAUUCAAAAAUAAAUACUUCUAUUUGU